GAUGAACGCUGGCGGCGUGCCUAAUACAUGCAAGUCGAGCGAAUGGAUUAAGAGCUUGCUCUUAUGAAGUUAGCGGCGGACGGGUGAGUAACACGUGGGUAACCUGCCCAUAAGACUGGGAUAACUCCGGGAAACCGGGGCUAAUACCGGAUAACAUUUUGAACCGCAUGGUUCGAAAUUGAAAGGCGGCUUCGGCUGUCACUUAUGGAUGGACCCGCGUCGCAUUAGCUAGUUGGUGAGGUAACGGCUAACCAAGGCAACGAUGCGUAGCCGACCUGGGAGGGUGAUGGGCCACACUGGGACUGAGACACGGGCCAGACGCCUACGGGAGGCAGCAGUAGGGAAUCUUCCGCAAUGGACGAAAGUCUGACGGAGCAACGCCGCGUGAGUGAUGAAGGCUUUCGGGUCGUAAAACUCUGUUGUUAGGGAAGAACAAGUGCUAGUUGAAUAAGCUGACACCUUGACGGUACCUAACCAGAAAGCCACGGCUAACUACGUGCCAGCCGCCGCGGUAA
rnacentral:rRNA from 1 species